rnacentral:rRNA from 1 species
UCUACGGGAGGCAGCAGUGAGGAAUAUUGGUCAAUGGUCGGGAGACUGAACCAGCCAAGCCGCGUGAGGGAGGAAGGUACAGAGUAUCGUAAACCUCUUUUGUCAGGGAACAAAGGCGGGGACGUGUCCCCGGAUGAGUGUACCUGAAGAAAAAGCAUCGGCUAACUCCGUGCCAGCAGCCGCGGUAAUACGGAGGAUGCGAGCGUUAUCCGGAUUUGUUGGGUUUAAAGGGUGCGCAGGCGGUCUGUUAAGUCCGCGGUCAAAGCCCGGGGCUCAACCCCGGCCCGCCGUUGACACUGGCAGUCUCGAGUUGGAGAGAAGUAUGCGGAAUGCGCGGUGUAGCGGUGAAAUGCAUAGAUAUCGCGCAGAACUCCGAUUGCGAAGGCAGCAUGCCGGCUCCACACUGACGCUGAGGCACGAAAGCGUGGGUAUCGAACAGGAUUAGAUACCCCUGUAGUC